GCGCGAUGUAGCGAGUUUUUGUAGAUGGUCUGCAUAAGAACCUACGAGGUAUAGGAUGUUCAUCACCGUGCCAGUCCUGGGGUGUGCAAGGGUGACACGCUAGCAGAGAAUGGUACCGUACGGGUCACCCGUUUGGAAGUCUGAUGUCAAUACCAAGGCGGCGAUACCUUUGUCGCUCCAGGGUGGACACUGACGAACAUGAAGACAAACGAACACGAGGAACAACAACGCAACGUUUUAUUUGGACGAUGUUGAAGGGGGUGCUCCAACGCGAUACGUCAACGGUGACGGCACAAAAACCCCAUAAACAAAAAGGAAACAGCUUACAGAAGACGACCGCAGUGCGUUUUCCCUAACUGAGCACGGUGGAUUCCCUGACCAUAGCCAGAUUUCUGUCUAUCGGCAAUUGACAUCAUGUGAUCAAGACUAGCUGCAUUGUACGGCCAGGGUGAUAAGUGGUCUUCUUGAAAGCGAAAGCUAAGUCAUCUGCACGUGUAUGGUCAUGAGGUAACAUGAUGUGAUGUAUUGUGUCUUCGCUGUGGGUUCAUCUGUAUUCCAGUACCUGACAAGCACGUCCAUCUGUUCUUUCUCCGCCACUUUGAUCAAUGACUCAUCGAAUGAUACCAAGAAUGAUGCACGAAGGAGGCUUGAUAGCAACUGCUUUUGGAAGUAUGGGACGAUUCCAUAGCAAAGUGUUGCCGACUUUGUCCUUCCCCAAAGGACAAAUGAUCUUUGCAACAGUUUCUCACGACGGAAAUAGCAGAACCAAGGCCGCGGCAGAGCGAAAAGAGCAAGAAGCCACCUAGGGUGUUUCAUACGACCGGUGCGGUGGUUCAGACGUCGAACGAAGGCCGAUCGACGCACUUGUUGAGGUUGCGUACGUUGUUGUCUUUAAGAACGGCACGAGGCUUGCCUGGGAGGCAGCUCCAACUGCUUUCACCGUAGAUGCCUUUUUGCUCACCGAAUAACUGGAUGCUGCUGUUUUCCCCAUGUUGCUCAAGGAGAAUUUCAUCCUGCACUUCGUGCAGAGGGCACUGUACGGGCCGUUUGACACGGGUUGAAUCCAGCUUGCUAACUAUGAUAUGGCUGGAUUCGUCCAGUCCGCAUUAAAAGUACA